rnacentral:rRNA from 1 species
AAUUUUGGACAAUGGGGGAAACCCUGACCCAGCCAUCCCGCGUGUAUGAUGAAGGCCUUCUGUUUGUAAAGUACUUUUGGUAGAGAAGAAAAGGUACCUCCUAAUACGAGGUACUGCUGACGGUAUCUGCAGAAUAAGCACCGGCUAACUCACUUCCAGCAGCCGCGGUAAUGCGUAGGGUGCAAGCGUUAAUCGGAAUUACUGGGCGUAAAGCGUGUGUAGGCGGUUCGGAAAGAAAGAUGUGAAAUCCCAGGGCUCAACCUUGGAACUGCAUUUUUAACUGCAGAGCUAGAGUAUGUCAGAGGGGGGUAGAAUUCCACGUGUAGCAGUGAAAUGCGUAGAUAUGUGGAGGAAUACCGAUGGCGAAGGCAGCCCCCUGGGAUAAUACUGACGCUCAGACACGAAAGCGUGGGGAGCAAAC